rnacentral:tRNA from 1 species
GCCUUGUUGGCUAAGUGGUAUAGCGUCUCACUAGUAAUAUAGUGUUAUGAGAAGAUCGGCGGUUCGAUUCCGCCACGAGGCA